GAACUGCUGAGGAAUCGCACAACAGGACGAAACGACCGUCCAGUGU
rfam:Schistosoma mansoni strain Puerto Rico chromosome 2, complete genome